CUGAUGAAAUACAACAAAAUGUAAAACUGUUGAAUGACCCAUGCAGACAAUCUGAGCUUGUCUCGAAAUAUGAAGAGUUGCGACUCAGGUGCCUGCCCAAGAUCAUAUCCUCACAACAGUUUCAAUCUGAUGAGGCCAGAAAACGCAUAGCCUCAUUAGUUCAGAACACAUUUGAAAAAGCAUCGAAGGACAUGGAGGCUAAAACAGAUGGAUUAUAUGGUAUUUUUCCUGAUGAUGGAGCGGAAGACAACAAGGAUACGAUGAUAUCCAAUUACAUAAAAGAAGCAAUUCGUAAUCUUCUGAUGGCUUUGCUGUGCAAAGGAAAGGAAAUAAUUAC